rnacentral:lncRNA from 1 species
UCGACUAACGGCUGGGAAUUGGUUUAUCUAAAUAUAUUUAAUCACUCUCCGUCUCUAAACUUAGAGACUCUAAACCCUAAAACACCCGCCGCCUCAAAAUCCUCAAGUCUCCAUCGGCCGGCGGCGUAGCUCAAUCGGCCCCAAAUUAACACCACACCACCCUUGUACCUUCCUCUUCCUAAACCUCAAAACAACUUCUCUCGAAUCCCUCUCCAUUUGUUCGAAUCUUAAAUCUAAGGCCGAAACCCUAAAGCCCCAAAUUUUCCCCCGACUUCGGAUCUAGGACAUGCAAAGCUAAGGGGAUCAAUUGUGCACGUAACUGACGUUGCCCAUUUGUUCUUGACAAGAAUACACGGUUGACAUCAAAUUUGGGUUCAAAUCGAAGUAGUCAGAGUUUCACCAGAUCGAUUUAGGUAUUUUUCUUUUGUUUUUCCUUCUACCCAUUCUGUGUUUCAUCUUCUAUUCCCUUUCCUUUUCUUCAGACAAAAAAUUAGUAAAAGUUUUAAUUUCUGAAAUUAGUUCUUUCCCUUUUGGUUGUCUAUGUUUGUUAUUGUUCUGUUUGUUUUCUAGCUUGUUCAUUUGAAUUCGUUUUUGAUUACUUGUUAUUCAUAUCAGUAGGCCAACUUCUUUUCCUUUCCUGUUGUUGUUUCUAUUGAUCAAAUUAGAAGUCUGCUCCCUCUCUCUUCUUUUUGUUUUAGCCAAUCCUAGUCAAUCGGCAUUACUAGUUUCGUUAUUUUGUGUUCUAAAUGGUUAAAUUCUUUAUUUGCUGUGAAUUGGAAUCGUUUUUGGGUUUUGUUUAAUUGGUUAAUUGCUCUUUUAAUUUGGAAGUCUCCUCUUGGGUUUGUGGUAGUCCAGACCUGGGCAUUAGAAGCCCAUUUGUUUAGGUUGAGAUUUUGAAUUCAGGCAGCCUGCUUUGGCUCAGGCUAGAAAGGUAAAUAAUAGGAAUUUAAAGGGUAAUAUGGGGAGUUUGGACAAAAAGAAUCUCUUGUAACUGAAUAGGAAGCUGCUAUGAAGGUGGGGGUUGGGGCUAGUUUUAACAAACAGAAUUUAAAAAUGAGGACUAACUAGCAAGAAUGAAAAUUAAAGAAUGAGCAAUUGGCAAAUAACAGAACCAAUUCUGCCCUAGAAAGCUUUUAUAAAGAGGCAUGUUUCUUCAUUAUCAAGUCAACGCUGAAAACCAUUUGCAUCUUGUAGUGGAAAUCUGCUUGUUUUUGUUCUUUGUUUCAUUAUUGAUCAGAAUUUUCUAAAAAGGCUCCAAGAAUUGUGUUCAUUUGGGUUUAAUUUGGUUUGAAAUAAGCUGGUUUUGAUGUAACUGCAAGCUGAUAUUGCUGCUGAUUUCUUUCACUUUUCUUUGUUUUGAUCUUUCCAUGUAUUUCUUUGAACAUGGAGUGGCAAAUGAAGUUGUGAAUGUGGUUUUUUUUUGCAGGGAAAGUGUGGUGUCUGUUGAAAUUCAAUAAAGAUGGCUCGUGUCUGAAGCUUGAUUUUCAUAUGUUUACUUAGGCUAUUCAGCCUCUUGUCUAUUUCUCCUUCUACCUCUUUCUUAAAUGUCAUAGAUCUAUAAUAAUAGAUAUUUUAGUAGUUUAUGUUUAAAUAUUAAAUCUGUGCAAAAGUUUGAAGUGGAACUAUGUUAAUUAGCUUGAUCUCCUGCAUUUUCUUGUAGUUGAACUGAGUUUAAUCAGUCUCAAGCUCAAUUGAUUGAGUAUUCCUUAGAAAAGGGGUCGAUUGGAUUCUUCCCCAAUUGUAUGGAAAUGGCUGGCAGUUUAUUGAAGGUUAUUGUCUAGUAUGCAUUUGGUUCCAAUGGUUUGAAUUACUGGUUGUUUGUUCAUUCCACAAGUCAGGGUCUGUUACAUUUUGACUUAUUAGAUAACUGUUCUCUUAAAUGGCCCAGAAUUUUGGUUAAACAGUGUUAAACUCAUAUGUAAAUUGAUAUAGUGUGUGC